rnacentral:ncRNA from 1 species
GAGUUUGAUCCUGGCUCAGGACGAACGCUGGCGGCGCGCCUAACACAUGCAAGUCGAACGAGCGAGAGGAGGUUGCUUUCUCAAGCGAGUGGCGAACGGGUGAGUAACGCGUGAGGAACCUGCCUCAAAGAGGGGGACAACAGUUGGAAACGACUGCUAAUACCGCAUAAGCCCACGACCCGGCAUCGGGUAGAGGGAAAAGGAGCAAUCCGCUUUGAGAUGGCCUCGCGUCCGAUUAGCUAGUUGGUGAGGUAAUGGCCCACCAAGGCGACGAUCGGUAGCCGGACUGAGAGGUUGAACGGCCACAUUGGGACUGAGACACGGCCCAGACUCCUACGGGAGGCAGCAGUGGGGAAUAUUGCACAAUGGGGGAAACCCUGAUGCAGCGACGCCGCGUGGAGGAAGAAGGUCUUCGGAUUGUAAACUCCUGUUGUUGAGGAAGAUAAUGACGGUACUCAACAAGGAAGUGACGGCUAACUACGUGCCAGCAGCCGCGGUAAAACGUAGGUCACAAGCGUUGUCCGGAAUUACUGGGUGUAAAGGGAGCGCAGGCGGGAAGACAAGUUGGAAGUGAAAUCCAUGGGCUCAACCCAUGAACUGCUUUCAAAACUGUUUUUCUUGAGUAGUGCAGAGGUAGGCGGAAUUCCCGGUGUAGCGGUGGAAUGCGUAGAUAUCGGGAGGAACACCAGUGGCGAAGGCGGCCUACUGGGCACCAACUGACGCUGAGGCUCGAAAGUGUGGGUAGCAAACAGGAUUAGAUACCCUGGUAGUCCACACUGUAAACGAUGAUUACUAGGUGUUGGAGGAUUGACCCCUUCAGUGCCGCAGUUAACACAAUAAGUAAUCCACC